GGAUAGAGUUGACUUUGAGCACAACAAUCAACGUCUGCAAUCUAUUCGAAGGAAGUCUCAAACCAGUCCAAACUAAAAACUGUCACUAGCCUCUGCAAUCAGAUACAGGCAUAGUUUCUUGCAUUGAAGAAUAAUACAAACUAUUUAAUUAGAAAUGCUGGAAUGCGUUUCAGUCCCCAACACCAACGCUUCUAUUCCCACACCUUCCAAUUCUCAAGGGAACUCCACCGAGGUAGAAGAAUCGGAAGGAGAAGAAGAUGAGGACGCUUCCACCGCAAGCUUAAACGUGUCCACCGAAUUCCUCCGCGCCGUGCAGGCCCCCUCCUACAAGGAGAUCCGCUCCAUCAUCGAAGCCCCUCCGCCUGUCCACCACGCCCACGACCAAGACUCACACCACCGCUACGUCCUAUCUCAGCUCCUCCAACCUGACUCCAACAGCGUUCAUGAAGCCCUCGCCAAGUUCAAACCUACCAGCAAACUCACGCGUCUCGUCUCCACCUACUUUGAACACAGCGAAACCACCUCUGACUUCUGUCUCCGCCUCCUCCUCACCAUCAUCCGCGCGCGCGACCUAUACGCGCCACUCUCCCGCCUCCUCUCCGUCCUCCCCGCCGAUGGGCCGCCGCUCUCCCAGGCCCAGUGCGACCGCGCCUACGAUCUCUUCCUCCAAUUCGACAGCCAGGAGAACCCCUUCCUGCUCUCCCACCUCCACCAGCUCCGCGACAGCUUCUCCCACCUGAAGGGCGACAUCCAGCGCGACCUCCGCAGGUGCCACUCUAGAAUCCGUAUGUUUGGCCACGCCACCGUCGGGUGCGCCGUUAUUUCCGUCGCCGUAAUUGCCGCCGUCGCCGUCGUCGCCGUCCAUGCAGCAAUAGGUUUCACUGCCGUAGCCGCGACUCCGUUUUGUGUUCCCCGGCAGAAGAGGAGGGAGCUUGUGAGGUUGAAGCAGCUUGAGGCUGCGGAGAAUGGAACUCUUGUGGUGAAUGACAUCAACACCAUUGAUAGCCUAGUUGAUCGGCUUCAAACCGCGGUGGAAGCUGAUAAGGCUUUCGUUCGGAUUGCGUUGGAGAGGGGAAGGGAGAGGCAUCCCAUUCAGCAGGUGCUUAAAGAGCUUACAAAGAACCAACCUGUUUUGGAGCAUUUGCUUGGGGAUCUUGAGCAACAUAUAUACUUCUGCUUUUACAGUGUUAACAAGGCCAGAUAUGCCCUUCUCAAAGAGAUAUGCAAUCAUCAAAAUCUAUAUUGCUGAUUCUGGAUUCAUGCAAAAAUGUAUUACUAACCCUGCAAUUAAAGGUGUGGGCUCUUUUUAUAAUUUGUCAGACUGACUCUAUAUAUGAUAUUUGUAGUUAUAUACAUCAAAUUAAAUUCCUCCGUUUGAAUGUAUUUACCAUUCGGUUCAAUCAUUUGAGAUAGUGGUGCCAGCCAGUGCUGGCCAUCCUUUUACUUGCCAUCACAUUUUAAGAUCCUAGAAGGACUAUUGUGUAGGGGUGACAUUUCAGGAACAGAUUAGGGUCAUCUAGUAUACGCCAUCAUAUAUGGCACGUAAUCAAUUGUAUGCAUCAUGAUGCACUUUGAAGUGCUAAUAAUGUUAAUUUGCGUUGUUAUCUCUUUAUGGGUCUGUUCAUAAUGCUAGUUAUAGAGUUGCCCGGGGAUAUUCCAUGUGUUGUUUUAACUGUUUAGUUUGUUUGACGAAUCCUUUCAAGCUAUAAUCUGAACAAUAUAUAUCAGGACUCAACAAUUAAUUACAGAAUUUCCCUAAUGAGUGAGUGUAGGGGAUGAUCUGUCAUUUAUUCAGAAUCAUAGGACAUAGGAUAUUUAUGAAGAAUUAAAAUAUUGAUUCUGCUAUAAAUGUGGGAGAAAACCGAAAAACAAAUCCUCGAAAAAUCAGUAGAGAAUAAAAGAAAUAAACACCCCUGAUUCUAAUUGUCAUUCUAUGAAGUGUGCAACGCUAGGUACAAGCUUCAAAGCAAACAUUGAUGGGAAAGUUUGGGAAAAGGAUAUUGAUGUCACACUGAAAAAAGAAUGAGAAGAUAGUGAUGAUAAGUUGUGAAAUUAAUCGUAACAAGUUAUUUUAAUAAGAUCAAAUUAGGAUUCUUAUAAUUCAGAAUUCCACAAAAUUCUCAUAGAGAAUUUUCUCUAUCAAAAUCAUAUACAUUUCCAUCAUGUUAGAAGUGCGUGAUUUAUAGGAUGAAUUAAGCAAAAUGUUCUAAAUUUUAGACUAGUCCUCAAUAAGAAAUAUUUAACAUCUUUUAGUAACUAACUCUUGUUAAUACUUUUUUUAAUUUGCAUUAUAUAAAUCAUUAUCUCCCUUAUUUAGUUAAAAAUAUGAAGUUACAAAAAGGGCUAAAAAUUACAUUCACCUCCUCCACAUCAUAUCAAGUAUAUAGGAGGUCCAAGUGUAAGGCUGAACACCACAUUACAAGCUGCAUUUUCAAAGCAUAACAGAUCUCCCCAGCUCGUGAUGAACUUAUACUUUUAUAUAUCCUGCUGUCUUCGGUCAGAUUACAGUUCAAGAUAUUGUUACUACAUAUCAGGCUAAUACUAUGCAGAACGGCCCUGGUUUAUACGUUGGAGAUGAAGAAGCAGCCGAAAGCAGCCUGCCACUGUCACUGUCAAGGUUCGUGGGUUGAUGCAUGGCCACCGUGAAGGAAGUUGAAGAGGCCAUCGUGAGACGUUGAAGAAGCAACAAUGAGGUUGAAGAUGUUACAUAUGAAAAAGGAGCAUAAGUAACCAAACCUAUUCCCCAAAUUCCUAUAGCUUCUGUUAUUGUUACAUUAACUUAAAUUUUAGAGAUUUGUUAUUUUAUUAGUUUUUGAUUUAGUAAUAUUUGGUUUGAUUUUGAUUGAGAUAAAAUCGAUA